AGAAUGGCCACACUGAAAGAUUCGUACCGAGAUCGAAAAAAACAUGAUGCUUUUGAAGAAGAACUGAAAUGAAGCUAAAUCCAUCCGAGUGAUCUUGAAACAGUCAAUUGCGAACGUGCGAUUCGGUAUUCGGCCAUCGGAGCAGCUCGUACGUACGUACUUAGAUCCUUCUUUUCCGAAGGAUCGGCAGUAGGGCCGCAGCGGCCGAAGCGACGACAUCGGGAGCGACGUCGAUGGCAGCGGGCACGUCCUCGGAGGAGAGAAAGAAGAAGCUGAAGAGGUAAGAGAAAAAGAUAGACACAUAAAGUCAAUCACGAAUCAUUCGUUCACGUCUUCCGUCUUGGGUGCUACGGCAGUUCCACUUCAGUAUGGCUUCAGCGAUUGGAGCAGCAACAUCAGGAACGCUAUCAGUAUCAAUGCAGGUUUCUCUCAGCGACGAUGGAGAGAGAGAACGAUGACCAUUGCGUGAUGGAACCAAAUCAGGACAUCACCGAGUCUUCUCGAUGAGAUACAUCACUUCGUCUUCACCCAGUCGAGAUGAAUCUGCAACACAUGAGACAUACAACUCCUUUUCUGCAGAGGUCGCAGUUCCUCCAACAUCAUUGCCCGGACUUCCCCUGUUCAUCAGGGGGAGUCCACUGACCCGUCCCCUGGGACAG